rnacentral:rRNA from 1 species
GUGCUAAGGUAGCAUAAUCAAUUGGCUUUUAAUUGAAGUCUGGAAUGAAUGGGUCCAUGGAAGUGAGCUGUCUCCUUUUUUUUAUAUAGAACUUAGUAAAUGGGUGAAAAUACCUAUAAUUAGAAAAAAGACGAUAAGACCCUAAUGAAUUUUUAUAAAAAGUAAGAUUUCUUGCCUUUUUUUUGUUGGGGCGACAUAGAAGCAAUAUCUAACCUUCUAGAAUAUAUUUUACAAGUCGAUUUUUUUAAGUAAGAAUAAAUUACCAUAGGGAUAACAGCACAAUUAGUUAACUAGCUUAUGACCUCGAUGUUGGACUAGGAACUAUUUUGGCUAAGUCGUCAAAAUAUAUUGUUCUGUUCGAACACUAAUUUCCU